CUUCCCUACAAAUGUGUUUAAGAUGUAAUUCACCAAUUUGAGCAUGUCCCAAGUUUCUUAAACUUGGUAUUGCAGAGAUCAUGGUACUGAUGCGGUUCGAUGAGAUCUGAUUUACCAAUGCAUUGGAGCCAAUUUCAUUCUAUUUAUUUCGAAUUCCUGUUUGCAGGCAAAUCUUUAAACCAUGGUCCAUGGGAGAGAACUCUGGGUUUAGCUUCCAUUUUAAAGCAAGUCCCAAAAGAUAAAAUAUUACCAUGAAGGACACCAACCAGGUCGCCACCUGCUCCUCUAUCUGGUUCCCUUUGCUAACACGAACCUUGUUGAGCUUCAUAGAGACUAAUUUUUUAUUUUAUUUUAUUUUAUUGUUGAAAUACUUGACUAAGUUUCUAAAGGUGCGUCACUUCACCAUACUUUUUCAUGAUUUUAAGUACCCUUUAAAACGAAGAGGAAAUGCUGCAAAAAUAGGUUUAAAAACAUAGAGGACACGUGUCGAAGCAUGAAUGGAAAAUUUGAAAUUUUAAAAGAAAAAAUAUCCAACCAAAUGCUGUGAACUCAGUCAGUCCACAAUUCCAUGUUUUUAACCCGUUCAACCAUCAUUGCUGUAGAACAAAAAUUUCAUAAUAAAUAAUUUGUACUUUUACGGCAAG
rnacentral:lncRNA from 1 species